GUGCUUUGGCAGCACAUACACUAAAAUUGGAAUGAUACAGAGAAGAUUAGCAUGGCCCCUGUGCAAGGAUGACAUGCAAAUUCAUGAAGUAUUCCAUAUUUUU
ensembl:snRNA U6 U6 spliceosomal RNA